rnacentral:ncRNA from 1 species
CACAGGGGUGCUGAUUUUAUCGGCUGAGAUUAUACCCUAAUACCUGAUUCGGAUAAUGCCGACGUAGGAAGCUUGUUUAUUA